rnacentral:rRNA from 1 species
CACGUAGGGGGCAAGCGUUGUCCGGAUUUACUGGGCGUAAAGGGCGCGUAGGCGGGAUGGCAAGUCGGUCGUGAAAUCCUUCGGCUCAACCGAAGAACGUCGGCCGAUACUGCCGUUCUUGAGGGAUGCAGAGGAGAUUGGAAUUCCCGGUGUAGCGGUGAAAUGUGUAGAGAUCGGGAGGAACACCGGUGGCGAAGGCGGGUCUCUGGGCAUCUCCUGACGCUGAGGCGCGAAAGCGUGGGGAGCAAACGGG